AUACGUAGGUGGCAAGCGUUGUCCGGAAUUAUUGGGCGUAAAGCGCGCGCAGGCGGUCCUUUAAGUCUGAUGUGAAAGCCCACGGCUCAACCGUGGAGGGUCAUUGGAAACUGGGGGACUUGAGUGCAGAAGAGGAAAGUGGAAUUCCAAGUGUAGCGGUGAAAUGCGUAGAGAUUUGGAGGAACACCAGUGGCGAAGGCGACUUUCUGGUCUGUAACUGACGCUGAGGCGCGAAAGCGAGGGGAGCAAACAGGAUUAGAUACCCUGGUAGUCCACGCCGUAAACGAUGAGUGCUAAGUGUUCGGGGGUUUCCGCCCCUUAGUGCUGCAACUAACGCAUUAAGCACUCCGCCUGGGGAGUACGGUCGCAAGACUGAAACUCAAAGGAAUUGACGGGG
rnacentral:rRNA from 1 species